AUAUAAGCAAAAUUGACUUUUUAGGUUCAUUCAUUUAAUGAUGUAUGUGGUUCAUAUUAUAGACCACAUACAUCAUUAAAUGAAUGAACCUAAAAAGUCAAUUUUGCUUAUAU
rfam:Medicago truncatula strain A17 chromosome 5, whole genome shotgun sequence.